GCCGGAGGGCGGCAGCCGAGCGGCGGACGCAGAGCCGAGGGCGCAGGCCUCCUCCCGCCCCGCCGAAGCCACAGGCCACGCACUUGUGGGAAAGCCUCUCGGCCUCCCUCCCGAGCCCUGCCACCUGCCACUGGAGCAGAGGUGCAGUUCGUUCGAAGCAUCCCCCUGCCUGCGGUCUACAAGUCUUUGCCAGAUUCAUAAGGAAAACCCAAUUUUCCUGUCCUCCGGGGAAUGACGGUGGCUGGCUGGGAGCACCUGGGACACGGGAGAUACAGAUGUGGCUUUAGGAGGACAGUGACGUAGGCCAGCACCGCAGUGUCCAGACACAGACACAGGCACAGGCACUCUGGCCUCCUCGCCCGACAUCUCACACCAGCUGAUCGAGAAGCAACCAAAACUGAGUAUUUUCUUUAACCCUGUGUGACUUUUAAUUUAAAAAAUGGGAGGGACUUCCCCGGCGGUCCAGUGGUUAAGACUCUGUGCUUCCACUGCAAGGGGCACGGGUUUGAUCCCUGGUCAGGGAACUAAGAUCCCGUAAGCCGAGUGGCACGGCCAAAAUAAUAAAGUAAAAAAAAAAAAAAAAAAAAAAAAGGGAGAUCCGUGAACAACUAUGAAACAAGUUGGUUAUCAACAUUAAUUGCAAAAAAAAAAAAAAAGCUUCCAUCGGGGGAGAGAAUAAGAUAUCAGACUUUUAUUGAGUAGGUGAUGGCUAGCAUACAAAAAGGACACCAAGCUUUCCUAAUGAACUGUAGUAUGAACAGGGCACCAGCACAUGGAAACAGAGAUGGUGACAGAAGGAGGAUAUGAGGACUAAAUAUUCUAAUGUUGAAGCAAUUGCUGGAGGGUAAAUCUGACUUUCAGCCAUUUGAUGUAAAAUUUUAAGGUCUUUUUUUAAAUCGAAGUAUAGUUGAUUUACAAUGUUGUGUUAGUUUCAGGUAUAC